CGGAGGAUCCAAGCGUUAUCCGGAAUCAUUGGGUUUAAGGGGUCCGUAGGCGGGUUUAUAAGUCAGUGGUGAAAGCCCAUCGCUCAACGAUGGAACGGCCAUUGAUACUGUAGAUCUUGAAUUAUUAGGAAGUAACUAGAAUAUGUAGUGUAGCGGUGAAAUGCUUAGAGAUUACAUGGAAUACCAAUUGCGAAGGCAGGUUACUACUAAUGGAUUGACGCUGAUGGACGAAAGCGUGGGUAGCGAACAGGAUUAGAUACCCUGGUAGUCCACGCCGUAAACGAUGGAUACUAGCUGUUCGGAGCAAUCUGAGUGGCUAAGCGAAAGUGAUAAGUAUCCCACCUGGGGAGUACGUUCGCAAGAAUG
rnacentral:rRNA from 1 species